rnacentral:lncRNA from 1 species
AUUCUUUAUAAUCAGAACCAUUAAUAAAUUAAUGUGAACUUGUUCUUGUACCUCAUUGCUCAAUAUCAGAUAUAUAAUUUUUCAUUUUUAGUUUUUAUGCAAGCUUCUGAAUGUUCGGGUAUUAGACAACUCCUUUACAUACUCAAAAUAUUUUUCGUAUGUGAAAAAAUUUGUUUGCAUGGGAUAAGCUGAAUGCCGAAAGCAGUGCACAUAUGAUUUUCUUCAAACAAUUAAAUCUUUCAGGUAAAGACAUCCAACAAUCAAGAAUGAUAGCCAACUUCUCCAGACGGUUUCUUUCUAGAGCUUUUUGCAAUUCUGCAAAUUUCAUUUUCCACAAUUCUGAUGAUGAUAGUUUAGAAAUGGAAUUAAUAAAACUAUCAGCUUUCAUCCACUCAAAAAGAGGGUCAAAGAAUGUCAUAUUUAGAUCAAUUAAAUCAGGUUUGAUAAGGUAAGAAAAUGUGUGCACGUGAGUUUGGAAGUCUUCAUACUGUUUUGCAAAUUUUUCUUUGAGCUCUUCAACAUACUUUUGAAGUUUGUUUUGGUUAACAGUAAAUCUAUUUGUAAAGUUCCUUACAUUUGGAAAGUAUUUGUAGAUGUUAGUGCUAAUAUCGUGCAAAAAUAUAAUUUUUUACUACUAUUCAAUUCAGUCUGAGUGCCAUUGAAAACGUUCUGCGUGCCAAGCAUGGCAUGCAUGCUGUAAGUUGUCAACCCAUUUUAUACAAUACUGUAAAUUUAGAUACACUUAAAGAUUUUAAGAGAGAGUAUUUAAAUGCCUAUUAUUCAUUUCAAAAUGACAGAUCAAAAAUAAAAAUACUGGAUUUCCUUGAGUUACAAACUUUUGUACAUAUGAGCAAGCCAUUUCAUUUUCAAAUUUUAGAAAAUUUCAAAAAAAUAUCUAAAAAAUUUUUUAAACAUUUACAAAAGCAGAAUACUCUA